GAGGGGUCUAUGCGAGCAUACAUGGUGCUCAUUAUCGCCACGACAACCACAAGCCAACUCGACGGACUGGCAGGGUAAACUCCAGUUAGGAUGCCGUUCUGCAACAAAAGAUAAUUUAACCUACGAGGCCUCCCACGGUAGAAAACCAGCAGGCAAGCAAGUUAGAUAGCUAGCUAGCUUACCUUGAACCGAAUGGCCCGCUUCUUCCAUGACGUCACUCCGGACAGCACCAGCUUCUCGCCGGUCCUCUGGACGGUGCCCAGGACGUAGACGCGGCGGCGCAGGGCGGUGGCCAGCGGGACGUCGUGGGAGAGGGACACGGCGAAGCGGAAGUCGGUGAGCGGCAGCGAGGAGACGAAGGCCCAGGAGUCGGCCCAGGGGUCGUAGCGCUCCACGGCGGUGUAGAGCGCCGUGCCGGAGUCGGGCGCCACCAGGGAGUCCAGGGAGAGACUGACACCCCAUCUGGAGAUCGUCAGAGGGCUAAAAUUAGAGUGAGGUGUGAGCCUUCAUCACCCUUACCCGGCUGAACGUCAUUAUGGCAGAACACCACUGGAGAGGGCGUAGCAGCGAGCAGUGUCCUGUAGAGGGGGUGUGAGGGGGAGGUGGAGGAACGCACCUGUAAGAUGGCCCCGUAGAUUCGGAGCAACACCUGGUGAGGUUCGUCUGCCAAACACUCCACAUGGUCGGGCA